rnacentral:lncRNA from 1 species
GUUUGUGAUAUACCACCCAAGGGAUUGAGGAUGGCAUCGACAUUUGUUGGGAACUCCACAUCAAUCCAGGAGAUGUUCAGGAGGGUGAGUGAGCAGUUCACAGCCAUGUUCCGUCGCAAGGCCUUCUUGCAUUGGUACACUGGAGAAGGGAUGGACGAGAUGGAGUUCACUGAAGCAGAAAGCAACAUGAACGAUUUGGUGGCAGAGUACCAGCAGUACCAGGAUGCGACUGCCGAGGAUGAUGUUGAGUAUGAGGACGAGGGCGUUGAAGAGAAUUAUGAGGGCUAAGUGUAUUGUAAGGAAUGGCUAUUUUCUUCAGAAUUGGAUUGAGGUUUGACGAGUC